GGUAAGUUAAGAACUUAAAGUGAAACGUUACUUUCUAUUUUAGAAAGCUCAUGCCAACUCAUGAGGCUGUGGUUAGUGUGUCUCAUUUUAGCUUUAACCGUUAGCCACUGGAGCAGAAAACGACUGACACAAAUGUCUGGGAUUAUUGUA